AUUGAACGCUGGCGGAAUGCUUUACACGUGCAAGUCGAACGGUAGAGGGGGCAACCCCUCGAGAGUGGCGAACGGGUGAGUAAUAUAUCGGAACGUGCCCAGUCGUGGGGGAUAACGUAGCGAAAGUUACGCUAAUACCGCAUACGAUCUAAGGAUGAAAGCGGGGGAUCGCAAGACCUCGCGCGAUUGGAGCGGCCGAUAUCAGAUUAGGUAGUGGGUGGGGUAAAGGCGCACCAAGCCAACGAUCUGUAGCUGGUCUGAGAGGACGACCAGCCACACUGGAACUGAGACACGGUCCAGACUCCUACGGGAGGCAGCAGUGGGGAAUUUUGGACAAUGGACGCAAGUCUGAUCCAGCCAUUCCGCGUGCAGGAUGAAGGCCCUCGGGUUGUAAACUGCUUUUGUACGGAACGAAAAGGUCUCUCUUAAUACGGGGGACUCAUGACGGUACCGUAAGAAUAAGCACCGGCUAACUACGUGCCAGCCGCCGCAGUAACAC
rnacentral:rRNA from 1 species